ensembl:lncRNA
UGCACAUCUGGAGCAACACCAGACCCACUAUCCAGCUGUGGACCAGGACAUCUGGAGCAACACCAGACCCACUGUCCAGCUGUGGACCGGGACAUCUGGAGCAACACCAGACCCACUGUCCGGCUGUGGACCGGGACAUCUGGAGCAACACCAGACCCACUGUCCGGCUGUGGACUGGGACAUCUGGAGCAACACCAGACCCACUGUCCAGCUGUGGACUGGGACAUCUGGAGCAACACCAGACCCACUGUCCAGCUGUGGACUGGGACAUCUGGAGCAACACCAGACCCACUGUCCAGCUGUGGACUGGGACAUCUGGAGCAACACCAGACCCACUGUCCGGCUGUGGAAGAGGACUGAACGAUCAGUCCGGCUGCUGGUUCAUAGAUGGACAAAUAUUAGCACAAAUUCUGGAGUUUAGUUUGUUCCUCGUUGAAAAGACACAAAACGACAAAUCAGGUCACUGAGUGGUGGCAGCUGCUGAUUCCUAUAGGUCAUUUUGUGUUAAUUUGUGGUUCUUUGUGUCUUUUAGUGGUUGUUUUGUGUCUCUGUGUGGUUGUUUUGUGUCUUUUAGUGGUUGUUUUGUGUCUAUUUGUGGUUGUUUGUGUCUUUAGUGGUUGUUUUGUGUCUUUUAGUGGUUGUUUUGUGUCUCUGUGUGGUUGUUUUGUGCCCUUUAGUUGUUGUUUUGUGUCUCUGUGUGGUUGUUUGUGUCAUUUAGUGGUUAUUUUGUGUCUCUGUGUGGUUGUUUUGUGCCCUUUAGUGGUUGUUUUGUGUCUUUGUGUGGUUGUUUGUGUCUUUUAGUGGUUGUUUGUGUCUUUGAGUGGUUGUUUUGUGUCUCUGUGUGGUUGUUUUGUGUCUUUAGUGGUUGCUUUGUGUCUGUGUGGUUGUUUGUGUCUUUUAGUGGUUGUUUUGUGUCUCUUUGUGGUUGUUUUGUGUCUCUGUGGUUGUUUUGUGUCAUUUAGUGGUUAUUUUGUGUCUCUUUGUGGUUGUUUUGUGUCCUCGUCUACAGAAAUGUAUGUAUUUGUUCAUAAAGUUUUUAAAAUAGACGUCAUCAGCAGGAAUCCAGAAAGAGAAAAAUCAACACAUUGUUAGUUUGAACAUUUGCUUGUUUGUGUUUAAUAGUUGAACCUAGAGGUGUCAUUGAACCAGGAACCCUGUGAUCACAUGAUGAACUUGUUCAACCACUGCACCACAUGGUCAGCGGUUGAACUUCUCCUGGGAUUGGGUCUGGAUUGACGUCAGCACCACAGAAUGUGGAAACACCUGGGCUCCGUUUCAUGAAGCAGGUUCAACAAACUCUGAGUUUAACCCUGAACUCUGAGUUGAUCUACUCUGAGAUAGAAAACUCUGAGUUUUCGGUUUCACAACGGCUGAUUUGAGUUGGUUUAAUCAACUCAGAGUAGUUUCACCUGGAGUUAAGCGCGUGCACCACAACUCUGAAAAGCCAGUAUCAAUGGAGCGCCGAUUCGACGAGUCACCAUGGCAACGGGGAAGCGGAGGACUGCGUUUUUUACACCACUUGAACUGGACAUCUUAAUUCGUUCAUAUGGCGACUUCGAACACGUUUUUAGAAAGAAGUGCAACACCUGCAGCUGCAAAAGAGAGGGAGACGGUGUGGGAGAACAUUGCUGCCCUGUCAAUGCAUUGUGAUGGUGUUAUCUGCCUGGUGGAGCCCCUUCACACCACAACAGAGCUUGUAACUGAUGAAGAGGAUGAAACUGUGUCUGCUGCCUUUACAGAGGGGGAUCCAGAAAGGCAUCUGGAGAGCAUGGCUGGACAGCAGCAGGAUGCUUCCUCAACUUCCACUGCACAGAUUGACUCAGUAAGAUGGAUGUUCAGUAAACACCAGAGGUUCAUUCUGUGGAAUUCAUGUGCAACUGUAUAAUUUAAUGUCCUUUAUGUAUUCCCAGUUACCAGUAAAACAAAUAUACAAAAUCCACUUGCUGAGAAAAAUACAAAAAACAGAUAAAGAAAUGCAGUACUUGGACCACCAGAUUAAGAAGGCAGAUCUGGAAAUUGAAAUACUGGAGCACAAGUUAGAGGUGGAUGCAGGUCACAGGUGAAUUAUGUGAACUACUGGAACAUGAACUAAACUAGCUCUUUUAUUUGUAGGAAAUAAAGAAGAC